rnacentral:rRNA from 1 species
GACGAACGCUGGCGGCGUGCUUAACACAUGCAAGUCGAACGGAAAGGCCCUGCUUUUGUGGGGUGCUCGAGUGGCGAACGGGUGAGUAACACGUGAGUAACCUGCCCUUGACUUUGGGAUAACUUCAGGAAACUGGGGCUAAUACCGUAUAGGAGCUCCUGCUGCAUGGUGGGGGGUGGAAAGUUUCGGCGGUUGGGGAUGGACUCGCGGCUUAUCAGCUUGUUGGUUGGGUAGUGGCUUACCAAGGCUUUGACGGGUAGCCGGCCUGAGAGGGUGACCGGCCACAUUGGGACUGAGAUACGGACCAGACUCCUACGGGAGGCAGCAGUGGGGAAUAUUGCACAAUGGGCGGAAGCCUGAUGCAGCAACGCCGCGUGCGGGAUGACGGCCUUCGGGUUGUAAACCGCUGUCGCCUGUGACGAAGCGUGAGUGACGGUAAUGGGUAAAGAAGCACCGGCUAACUACGUG